rnacentral:rRNA from 1 species
UACGAAGGGAGCGAGCGUUGUUCGGAAUCACUGGGCGUAAAGCGUGCGUAGGCGGUUUUGUAAGUAAGAAGUGAAAGCCUGGGGCUUAACCCCAGAAUUGCUUUUUAGACUGCAAAGCUAGAGUAUUGGAGAGGUUAGUGGAAUUCCGAGUGUAGAGGUGAAAUUCGCAGAUAUUCGGAGGAACACCAGUGGCGAAGGCGACUAACUGGACAAUUACUGACGCUGAGGCACGAAAGCGUGGGGAUCAAACAGG